rnacentral:rRNA from 1 species
UACGGAGGGGGCUAGCGUUGUUCGGAAUUACUGGGCGUAAAGCGCGCGUAGGCGGCUUUGUAAGUUAGAGGUGAAAGUCCGGGGCUCAACCCCGGAACUGCCUUUAAGACUGCAUCGCUUGAAUCCAGGAGAGGUGAGUGGAAUUCCGAGUGUAGAGGUGAAAUUCGUAGAUAUUCGGAAGAACACCAGUGGCGAAGGCGGCUCACUGGCCCGGUAUUGACGCUGAGGUGCGAAAGCGUGGGGAGCAAACAGG